UUUCCGUAGGUGAACCUGCGGAAGGAUCAUUAUAAAUGAAAAACGAAUAACUUCAGGGAAGAAGGGAACCUGCACGGUGACCUCCCCUGUCGGGCCACCCAAUACCUUCAGAAUGCCGCCGUCCUAGCGGUGGCAGACGAAAAAAAAACAAGAAAAACAAAAUAGAAACAGGCACGGUGGCCCGUUCACCUUCACACAACCCUCCGAGUACCGCUUCCAUGUUGCUUCCCCGCGAAUCCACCUCUUUGGUGAGCGCGGGGGAGGUCCGCAUCAAAUUCACCUGAAUGUCACAGGAGUCAGACGGGCAUUCAUGGAAACAAUAAAACUUUCAACAACGGAUCUCUUGGUUCCC
rnacentral:misc_RNA from 1 species